CAACCUUGGCAAUAGGCAAAGAACCACCUUGUUGGUGGUGUGGUUCUUAUAUUUGUCAAGGACAGAGCAGAUUGGGGAAUCUUUUGUUCAUCCUAGCUUGAUGCCUGGCUUGGUGGCCAAAACCGUCUUAUGCUUAGGACUCAAAA